rnacentral:rRNA from 1 species
CAGGCCUAACACAUGCAAGUCGAGCGAUGAAGCACCUUCGGGUGUGGAUUAGCGGCGAACGGGUGAGGAACACGUGAGGAAUCUGCCUUCCACUCUGGGAUAACUCCGGGAAACCGGGGCUAAUACCGGAUACUUUCAACUGGCGGCAUCGCCGGUUGAAGAAAGUUUUUCGGUGGAAGAUGACCUCGCGGCCUAUCAGCUUGUUGGUGAGGUAAUGGCUCACCAAGGCAACGACGGGUAGCCGGCCUGAGAGGGCGACCGGCCACACUGGGACUGAGACACGGCCCAGACUCCUACGGGAGGCAGCAGUGGGGAAUAUUGGGCAAUGGAGGAAACUCUGACCCAGCGACGCCGCGUGAGGGAUGAAGGCCUUCGGGUUGUAAACCUUUUCAGCAGGGAAUAAGCGAAAGUGAAGGUACCUGCAGAAGAAGCACCGGCUACUAUGC